rnacentral:rRNA from 1 species
UACGGAAGGCCCGAGCGUUAAUCGGAAUUACUGGGCUUAAAGCGUGCGUAGGCGGAUCGAAGGGUGUCUUGUGAAAUCCCCCGGCUCAACCGGGGAACUGCAGGGCAAACCGCCGAUCUUGAGGCAGGUAGGGGUCGAUGGAACUGUCGGUGGAGCGGUGAAAUGCGUAGAUAUCGACAGGAACGCCGGUGGCGAAGGCGAUCGACUGGGCCUGUCCUGACGCUCAGGCACGAAAGCGUGGGGAGCAAACAGG